GGGCUCAUAGUUCAGCGGCUAGAACGUCUCCUUUACACGGAGAAGGUCACCGGUUCGAUUCCGGUUGGGCCCA
rnacentral:tRNA from 1 species